rnacentral:rRNA from 1 species
UGGGGGAUAACAUCGGGAAACUGGUGCUAAUACCGCAUGAUACCUGAGGGUCAAAGGCGCAAGUCGCCUGUGGAGGAGCCUGCGUUCGAUUAGCUUGUUGGUGGGGUAAAGGCCUACCAAGGCGAUGAUCGAUAGCUGGUCUGAGAGGAUGAUCAGCCACACUGGGACUGAGACACGGCCCAGACUCCUACGGGAGGCAGCAGUGGGGAAUAUUGGACAAUGGGCGAAAGCCUGAUCCAGCAAUGCCGCGUGUGUGAAGAAGGUCUUCGGAUUGUAAAGCACUUUCGACGGGGACGAUGAUGACGGUACCCGUAGAAGAAGCCCCGGCUAACUUCGUGCCAGCAGCCGCGGUAAUACGAAGGGGGCUAGCGUUGCUCGGAAUGACUGGGCGUAAAGGGCGCGUAGGCGGUUUACACAGUCAGAUGUGAA